GCAACACUGAGGCCCAGCCUUGCGUUGGCGGCUCCGGCUUUUUCCGCGUGGAAAGGCCGGCCGCCCAAACUUCGACGGCGCCGCACCGCGGCCGACGAUGCGCAUAAAGCAGACGUCUGGCGUAGCGGGUGGUCGGCGGCCUUGUCACAACAGAACA
rnacentral:misc_RNA from 1 species